GGUAAAUUUUGGAAUACUUAGUUUUUUUUAAUUUCCUACAACUAAAGAAACAAAAUUAAAAGUCAAAGAUACAAUCUAUCUUUUUUAGAGAAAGUUAAAUUAAUUUUAGAUUUUUUGUAUAAUUUCAUCAGUCUCCUUUACUUAUGAGAAAUAAGGAAACAAAUAUAUAAAAUAAAUGGUAACACAUGUUCAGGAGUCUCAACAGGUUAUCUGAUAUCGAGUUUGAUAAGAUGCUCAAGUCUUGUGUUGGUUUAUGAGGGAGCAGCAGGAGUUAGCUGCCCAUUGUGGAAAGACCAGAGGAUACCAGGCACCUAAUAGAUGCACAGUGUACUAAGUAGUGUGCAAUGCCAGACACGGUGAAGUCCCGGGGCACCCUGAGGCUGAGGGCAUAACAGCCAGGUUUGCUGGUGGACUCACGCACCAUGAAAGCCCCCACUGGCUCAUGACUCAGCACCUCCAGAGCAAUCUCCCUUUUUCAGGUGAGGCUCCUCUGGCGGCGUGAGAGAAUCUGAACGUUCAGGGAGAGGCGGUGGAGUUGCUGAACGUGUGCUUGACGUGGAGACAUCGAGAGCCACAACUCCUGAAGAGGCGCUAGAGCUCAC